rnacentral:lncRNA from 1 species
AUUAAGUGUUCCCUAAAUGCUCUUAGGGGAUCCCUAAAUUUAGGUAUUUGUUGAUGAAAAUGAGCAUAGCUAGUUAAAAUCUAACCCUUUAGUUAAAUUUAGUAGUUAAACACCCGCCAUACUAGAAAUAAUGAAUUCAUAAAUAAAUAAUUGCAAAAAUAACAAAAAAAGUUUGGUUUUUUACAAAAAAAAAUGUAAUAAAAAUAUUAUUGUAUGUGUUUGUAAAUAGGUUGUGUAUGUAAAAAAAUAAAUAAAUUUAAAAAUAAUGAUGAUAUUGAUAAAUGGCUGGUCCCAUAUUCAUGUAAUUUAGUUAGGUUAUUAUAAAUUAAACUUUUUAUAACGAAAAUUAGAUAGGGUAUCAAAAAUUUUUGGAAAAAAAUACCAAAAAAAAUUAUAAUUGAAAAUGUAAAAAAUUUAGCUUAUUGUAGCUAUGGUUAGGGUGAAAGGGCAAAUUUUCGACUGUGUUAUUUUUUUUAACCAACAAAGUUUCUAAGUUUGUAUGCACUUUCUAAGUAUAUCUUAGACACCAAUGACUGUGUUUCGGAUGGCACGUUAAACUGUAGGUCCCGGCUGUCAUUUGAACAUCUUUGGCAGUCGUUACGGGUAGUCAGAAGCCAGUAAGUCGGACAACCAGUCUUACGUAGAGGUAUCGGGUUGUUAGUAACUGGGUUGAGGAGGUCAGAUAGGCAGUCGCUCCUUGUGGCACACUGGUACUCAGCUGCAUCCGAUUAGACUGGAAGCCGACCCCAACAUAGUUGGAAAAAGACUCGCGAGAUGAUGCAUUUAUGACAAAUCGUUUGUUAUGUUUCUGAUUUUAGUCAUUUUUUAAGUAAAUAAUAAAGUGCAUGAAACGAAAUUAUAGUUAUCGGCACAAAUCUUGAGCUCUGACCUACAUUUGCGCAGCAGUGAUUUAUUAGCAAAGAACCAAUCCCGAGUGACGGCUAUGACGCGAUGCACUGCGGACCAAUCACCGCUUUAGCCCGCCCCCGCGCCUCACGAAUACCACAAAAGGGACCCAAUAAAUUACUUCUGCGCAGGGGAAGGUCAGAGCUCAAGAUUCGUGCCGAUAACUAUACUA